GACCCUUCACUUUGACCGACAGUGAGUCUGCUUAUAGGUCGGAAUAUGAUGGAAUGAAGCGGCCACCGAUUCUUGACAGGCUGGUAUUAAGGGUUAGCUCUGUUUGUCGCCAAAGUGAAAGAAACUGGAAUCUUUGCAAUGGCAAUUUAAGACCACAGGAGAGAAGCCUUUCAUAUGUGAGGCCUGUUGGAAGUGCUUCGCGUCCAAGGAGUACUUGAGGCGCCACUCCAACAUCCACACCGGCUCCAGGACCUACAAGUGUCAGCAGUGUGUGAGGAUGAACACAUCCCAGACACACUUCCCUCUGGUCAACCGGUCUCAUCCAUGAUGCAAGGCCCCAGGGAGCGCCAACAGGGGGCGCCCAUUCCCUUCCUCUGUUCUCCUGGGAUCCCUGUGUUUAUGAUUAAGCAGAGCUGCUGCGGCUCAAGGGGGGGGUCGGCAAUAAACACCUUUACUUUGGACCACCUGACUCAUACUUUCUUUUUGAUCUGGUCUAUGUUACUCCCCUUACC
ensembl:lncRNA